rnacentral:rRNA from 1 species
UACGUAGGGUGCGGAGCGUUGUCCGGAAUUAUUGGGGCGUAAAGGGCUCGUAGGCGGUUUGUCGCGUCGGGAGUGAAACCUCGGGCUUAACUCGGGGCUUGCUUUCGAUACGGGCAGACUGGAGGUAUGCAGGGGAGAACGGAAUUCCUGGUGUAGCGGUGAAAAUGCGCAGAUAUCAGGAGGAACACCGGUGGCGAAGGCGGUUCUCUGGGCAUGACCUGACGCUGAGGAGCGAAAGUGUGGGUAGCAAAAAGG